AAUUACCCAAUCCUGACACAGGGAGGUAGUGACAAGAAAUAACAAUACAGGGCUUAAAGUCUUGUAAUUGGAAUGAUGGGAAUCUAAACCCCUCCCAGAGUAUCAAUUGGAGGGCAAGUCUGGUGCCAGCAGCCGCGGUAAUUCCAGCUCCAAUAGCGUAUAUUAAAGUUGUUGCAGUUAAGAAGCUCGUAGUUGAAUUUCUGCCUUGUCAUUAAUCUCGCUUCCGAGCGUUUUUUUAUUGACUUGGCAUCUUCUGGAUUUGGUGCCUUCGGGUACUAUUUUCCAGGAUUUACUUUGAGAAAACUAGAGUGUUUCAAACAGGCAUUCGCCUUGAAUACUACAGCAUGGAAUAAUGAAGUAGGACUUUGGUUCUAUUUUGUUGGUUAUUGAGCCAGAGUAAUGGUUAAUAGGAGCAGUUGGGGGCAUUCGUAUUUAA
rnacentral:rRNA from 1 species